AAGGUGACGUGUAGAGUCUGCGGGCUCUAGAGAGACCAUACUGUAACAAGAGAGCACUGGGAGAAGAGCCAAUGAAAUGUAUGGAGUGGACGAUAUGUUGAAUGAGGGGACUGGAGGAACAAGUGUCGCCUGGCGGUUCAGGAGAGUUAGAGGCUAACGGCCGGCUUGUGGACGACUGCGGGAAGGACACAUGGAACCCUCAUCCCCAUCCCAUCUCCUCCCAAACUGGUUCACUGUUGGAUGAGCUAGCAGGAGGAUAAGAUACCUGCCAAAGUAGUGCUACACGACUGAAAAAUCUUUUUGUUGGGUGGAAGAAAUACUGCCCCUAAAAUGGCAUUCCUGAGAAAUGGAAAACAGUGCAUGCAACACAUCACUUGGACAGAAAGAAGGCGUCACCAGAAAAAUUAUGCUCCGUGUGCUGCAGGACUGAAGAUUUCCAAAGAACUGGAAAGCCUGGGCUUGGCAGCUCUACUUGGCAUUGAACCCAAGAGCAGAGAAGGAGAUUACGCAAUGGUUGUAAGCCUAAGAUACUAUGCUUACUGCCAUAGCUAAUAAUGCUAAGCAAGAUAAGUGGGGAAAGCAACCCAUUUUGUUUCUUGAUUCAAUAAAUAUUUACUAUUGAUCU
rnacentral:lncRNA from 1 species